AACGCACCUUGCACUCUUUGGUAUUCCGAAGAGUAUGCCUGUUUGAGUGUCGUGAAACCCUCAACCCCCCUGUUUUGUGAUGAAACAGGUGUCUGGGCUUGGAUUCUGGCUGUCUGCCGGUCCCUUAGGAUCAGCUCGGCUGAAAUAUACGAGUAGCUCGCUAAUUGAUAGCAUAGACAGCUCUAGCUCGGCGUGAUAAUUUACUUUUCGUCGAACCUUGAUGCAUCGUCUUAUCGAUUAUAGCAGCGCUUCUAAUGCGUUUCAUUCGUGAAACAUUUAAGCUUUUGACCUCAAAUCAGGCAGGAUUACCCGCUGAACUUAA
rnacentral:misc_RNA from 1 species